GAUGAACGCUGGCGGCGUGCCUAAUACAUGCAAGUCGAGCGAACGGACGAGAAGCUUGCUUCUCUGAUGUUAGCGGCGGACGGGUGAGUAACACGUGGAUAACCUACCUACAAGACUGGGAUAACUUCGGGAAACCGGAGCUAAUACCGGAUAAUAUUUUGAACCGCAUGGUUCAAAAGUGAAAGACGGUCUUGCUGUCACUUAUAGAUGGAUCCGCGCUGCAUUAGCUAGUUGGUAAGGUAACGGCUUACCAAGGCAACGAUGCAUAGCCGACCUGAGAGGGUGAUCGGUCACACUGGAACUGAGACACGGUCCAGACUCCUACGGGAGGCAGCAGUAGGGAAUCUUCCGCAAUGGGCGAAAGCCUGACGGAGCAACGCCGCGUGAGUGAUGAAGGUCUUCGGAUCGUAAAACUCUGUUAUUAGGGAAGAACAUAUGUGUAAGUAACUGUGCACAUCUUGACGGUACCUAAUCAGAAAGCCACGGCUAACUACGUG
rnacentral:rRNA from 1 species